UUCCUACGGGAGGCAGCAGUGGGGAAUAUUGCACAAUGGGGGAAACCCUGAUGCAGCAACGCCGCGUGAGUGAAGAAGUAUUUCGGUAUGUAAAGCUCUAUCAGCAGGGAAGAAGAUGACGGUACCUGAUUAAGAAGCCCCGGCUAACUACGUGCCAGCAGCCGCGGUAAUACGUAGGGGGCAAGCGUUAUCCGGAUUUACUGGGUGUAAAGGGAGCGUAGACGGCGAAGAAAGUCUGAAGUGAAAGCCCGCGGCUUAACCGCGGAACUGCUUUGGAAACUUUUUUGCUGGAGUACCGGAGAGGU
rnacentral:rRNA from 1 species